rnacentral:lncRNA from 1 species
UCUUUGUUGUAUUAAGAAGACACUAUAUCAACAAACAUCUUGAGCUCAGAAGCUGAUUUUUCUUUACCUUUACAUAAUACCCUUGAAUUGUAUGUCCAUAAUGAAGGCCUUCAUAUAGUGGUUAGUGCCCUAGGAUCUUUACUGGUACUUUACGAUUUAAGCAAAGCUAAAAGAUGAACUUGAAGACAGAAACACAGCACACAACAACUUUAUAGUGGUUCAGCCAAAACCCUAGCCUACGUCCACUUUGUGAUAUCUCUUGAGAGAUUCACUAGCACUAUGGAGAAUCCUGAUUACAAGUACUUAUUGAAAUCCCUAUGCUAAUCCCCAACUCUCUUGCUAGAUCUCUCUAUCACCCUUAGAGCCCUCGGUUUUUUGCGGUAUCUAUCUUACCCUUAGAAACCCCCCUGCAGCUCCUAUUUAUAAAGAAUAGGGGUUGCUGAUACAACAUGGUUUAACACUCCUAAACCUAAUAUAGAUAAGUCUAUUACAAAUCCUAGUAGAACCUUGAAAGACUAACUUUCCUAAAACUUAUAGAAAAGCUACAGCGCUGUCCUAUUUUCGUUCUAGACUAACUUCCCAAGAACUUAUAGAAAAAC